rfam:Prunus persica cultivar Lovell chromosome G1, whole genome shotgun sequence.
GUUCUCUCCGGUACAUUCCAUAAAAUUGGAACAAUACAAAAAAGAUUAGCAUGGUCCCUACACAAGGAUGACACGCAUUAAUAAAAAAAAUGUUCCUUUCUU